GCGCGCACGGACUGUAUAAAAAUUCAUUUUCUCAAGCAAGAUCCUCUGAAAUGGAUUCACGUCAGUGAAAAAUUGAGCCUUGUUAAGCGGUGAAGAACGGGGAUUUCAAAGAAAAAUUUGGGCCCUUUUUGUGUUUUAAAUUAAUGUUUGAUUGACAUUGAUUUGUUUUUUUAAACUUUAGGUUGUUAACUUGAGUAGUAGAUUCUCAAAUUAAAAGAAUCUAAUUGAUAACAAGUUCUUCCAUAACUUUUUCUCUCUCAUUGAAUGCUCUUUCUCUAGACAUAGAAUCAGAAGCGAAACAGUGUCAGGAAUUAAGAAGUUGACAAACUGAUGGCCGGCAAAGGAAAAAUGGACAUGGCCCUCAGUCAAAUCUCUGAAGAUAGGCUGCGGAGGGCUUCUCGAGUUUCAGCAAUUUUUUUUUUUUGGAAAUUUCAAGCUGGGUUUGUGAUUCAGUUUUCUCAUUUACUUUGAUAUAGUGGGCGUCAGAAUUUUUAAGGUGUAUUCUGGGAAUGAAAGGGUUAAAGAUGUUGCCAAAAGCAUAAGGAAUUCUGUAUCAGUUAAACAGGAAGCUGCUCUUACUAGUACGAGUAAUAAGAAGGAAUUCCUAACAAGGAGAAUGGAAAAAGCAAGUCUGGUACUUCUGCUGGCGUAAAAGUUGGAAGAAAAGCAUUGGUUGAUGUCGGCAAGAUAGCAGGGAAUGUUGCAAGGAAUGUAGUGCAUGAUGGUUCUAAAUCAUUGAAGAGUGUGAGAAGUGCAUUCUUGCACCAGUAUGCAUAUGUUGUCUUUGUCACGUUCAUUACUGUAGAUUUUGUAUCUGUUUUUGUUUUUGAAAAUGAUCAAGAUCAAAGAUUGAAUCUAGAUUUCCAGGUGAGUUAAUAUGAGAUUAAUUUGUGUGUAAUUUUUUUGUCGUAUGGGUACUUGAUGUGAUCAUCUAAUGAAUUGAAUGUUGGGUUAUUAUUCCUAAAGAAGAAAUGAAUAAAAUCUUUGUUUGUCUGUGUAUUUUUAUUGUAUGCAUUGAGCGUGUGCAUGAGCUGCGUGUGCGUGUGGCGAUUUUCUUGAUUGCAUGGGAUUCUUAUCACAAGAUUUGUUGAUCACAAAAUCAAAACUUUAUAGAAAGGGUGACAACUUUACAAGAUAUGAUUUGCACCGCUCAUAAAUGACCAAUUUCACUGCAGUUUGGUUGUGAAGAGGAGAAACAAAAUUCUCUUCUCUCUGCUUUCGUCCUUAUAAUUUUGAUGUUUGCUUCCAGUUCUUAUGUUUGUUAAUCACGUCAAAUUUGCUGAAUUUU